GUGGAAUUUACUCUCCAAUUAAACUCCAUGGUUUAAAAUAUGUUCUUCAAUCUGUAAAUAUCCUUUCUCAGCUGCAAUAUAAAGCCGCUUCGUGAAUUGGAGUUGUUCCAUCUGGAGUCUCAGCAUUCACGUUAGCACCUCGGUCAAUAAGCAUGGUAACACCAUCUACAUGUCCGUAUUGAACAGCAAGAAACAGUGGUGUAAAAGCUGAAAAGAAAGAGAUCUGCAAUAUGAAGGUAUACCGUCUAUAUCACGGGCAUCAACGUUAGCUCCAUGAUUUAAAAGUAUUUCGGCAAUCUCUAUUUC